rnacentral:rRNA from 2 species
UACGUAGGGGGCGAGCGUUGUCCGGAAUCAUUGGGCGUAAAGCGCGUGUAGGCGGCUUGGUAAGUCUGGUGUGAAAUCUUGGGGCUCAACCCCAAGCCUGCACUGGAUACUGCCUCGCUAGAGUCCGGGAGGGGAGAGUGGAAUUCCCAGUGUAGCGGUGAAAUGCGCAGAUAUUGGGAAGAACACCGGUGGCGAAGGCGGCUCUCUGGAACGGUACUGACGCUGAGACGCGAAAGCGUGGGGAGCGAACAGG